rnacentral:rRNA from 1 species
CAGCCGCCGCGGUAAUACGUAGGGUGCAAGCGUUAAUCGGAAUUACUGGGCGUAAAGCGUGCGCAGGCGGUUAUAUAAGUCAGAUGUGAAAUCCCCGGGCUCAACCUGGGAACUGCAUUUGAGACUGUAUGGCUAGAGUGUGUCAGAGGGGGGUAGAAUUCCACGUGUAGCAGUGAAAUGCGUAGAUAUGUGGAGGAAUACCGAUGGCGAAGGCAGCCCCCUGGGAUAACACUGACGCUCAUGCACGAAAGCGUGGGGAGCAAACAGGAUUAGAUACCCCGUAGUCCCUGUCUCUUAUACC